UAAGUGUGAAAAAAUAUAAAGACAACGCUCGUUAAAAAAAAAAACAGGGUAGCUCCUCAGCACCCUAUUCUUUUUUUGUUCCCCUGUUUGUUCUUCUUAACGAAAAUUUCCUGGAAAGUCACUUGCACAGAUGUGAGAAAAGGCAGAAUUAUGAAAUCCUAGGAGCGACUCAGCAGCAAAAAUAAACAGGCCUACGAACCAUACGGGGCACCCAGGAGGCAAAACGUGUUGUGCAGCUUUUCUGGUGAGGUUUGCCCACACGCUGCUGGGAAAGCAGGGCUGGGCUUCGCGGCUGGCUCACGGUGACGCUGAGAGCCGGGCUCCACAGUGCGCUCAUUAGCACUGCUUCUGCAUCCUCUCUGCCCAUGCCCAUUUAUUUUUAUUUAUGUAUUUAUGUAUUUAUUUUUUUGCAAGCAACUUCCAGAGAAGUAUUGAAAUAAGUCUGAAUCUUCAAGUUUAUUAUUAUUAUUAUUAUUAUUAUUAUUAUUAUUAUUAUUAUUUUUAUUUUUAUUUUUAUUUUUAUUUUUAUUUUUAAUUUUUAAAUGUGAUUGUCAGAGAUUAGAAUGCCUUUCCCAACAUCCAGAAAAGUAAUAUGUUUGGACUCGAGUUCUUAAAAAAAAAAAAAAAAAUCAAUAAAUGACUGCAUGGCUACAGGUAUUUUUCCUCUCACCUUUCACUUGAUUCAUCAAAGUACACCACUGUGCUUGUCAGCCUCGUGUUUGAGAACAGAAAGGCAUAUAGUGCAGUCUUAUCUGUGGAAAUAAUCAGCGAGGAUUGCAGGAGAGGCAGUAGCUCUUAUUAGACUAAUUUAUUGUCUGGAAAAAAAAAAAAGAAAAAGAAAAAAGAAAAAAAAAAAGCAAACCAAAAUGAAUAAACACCAGCCUUCAGCACAUAGCUUUCAGCUCAUCUUCAGACCCUCACUUUCAGGAAGCCAGCUGCCCCGAGGCAAGCCGAGUUCUGUUCCAGACCGUUCAGCUUUUGGUGAGCACACCCAGCCCGCCCCUGUCAGCCCGGCAGGCCUCUUCAGUGACAGCAGGAGAAGCCACAGCGCUCUGUAUAUUUAUUUCUGGCACCUUUUGCCAGGUGGAGGAGAUGCACCUCACAGCUCCACAGGUGUAGCUCCAUACAUUUCACUGAAAUAACCAACAGAGUGAGAUGAAGAACAUCCAAAAUCCAAAGAAGUGAGUGUAGCUGAACGACAUUCCUGCUGCCUGCUGCCUUUACGCCUACCACAGGUUAAAAAUGCCCAUUGAGGAAGGAAAAUGGAUGUUAAGUUUUAAUGACCCAUAUACAUGAGUGGGAAACCGACCAAGGAAAAUUCUUCAUGCUCUGGCAAAGGGACAUACAGACGUACUUCUUGGAUUGAUAGCGACUGGCGCACAGAAGGAGUCCCAAAAGAUGCAAUGCUUCACCAGUGUAGGUGCUGAUUUAUCCUUCAACAACAGCUUAGCAAUUUUUGCAAGUUCUCUGCUUAAAUAAAUCAGUCAAGGAAGGAGCUUGCUCCA
rnacentral:lncRNA from 1 species